rnacentral:lncRNA from 1 species
CAUAUUCGGCAUAAAGGUGGAAACAAGUUAGAUGCAUUAGAAUUAAGAAAAUAAAAUUGAAAACCAGUUAGAUAACUAUGCUAUAGAAUGUACUUUCCUGAAACAAAGAAGUGAAACUUUGGUUGGUCUAUGUUGUCAUCGGAGUUAUAACUAUGCAGCAGUGUAGUUCAUUUUCGGAACACGUUUUCUUAGAUUUUCCCUAGAAGACUAUUUCUUGUAGAUCUCUUUUUAUGGUAUCUUUUUUAUAUCUUUUUUAUAUAAUUCUAUUUUAUUAGGUUUUUAUGGUUUCCCUAUAAAUAUGAUUCAUUCUUUUCAUUGUAAAAAGAACAUGUUAUUUAGAGAAUUAAUAAAGAUUCAUACUCUCUGUGGUGUUCUACAAAUUCAUAGCAGGUUCAUAAUUUUUGUAAUUAAGGGGUCAAGUUCUUCCAUUACUUUGGGUUCACAUAAGUAUGCAAUGACUAGAAAGAUUGUGUUUCUUGAAAAUUUCAAGAAUGUGUUUCUUGAAGUUGAGUAAACCUUAAUAAGACCUAUUUUUAACCAAUUGCCUUUUUUUCCCAUUUUUUCUAGGCUUUUUUUUUUUUGGCAAUUUUUCUGUUCUGUUUGGACGAUAAAUAUGCAGAAUGAUUAACAAAAGCAUUAAAUGAAAAUUUUUUUUUGACAAAGACUCAAUGAAGAGGAAACAAGAAGAAUUUGAAUUAAAAACCGUAGAAAGAUAAAGGAUAAAAACCUGAUUUUAGAGCCAAUGCUUUGAUGACAACUGAUGUGAACCCACUAGGGCAAGAAUUAGUGCUUGCUCGAGGCAAUGCUUAGAGGUGCUUGCUCAGGCAAGGCUUCUAGGUGCUUGUGUAGUUCUAGACUUCGAGUGCUUGCUCUUGUUUACUGGAGACAAGGCUCACGGUGCUUGUGCAAGACAAGCUUUUCAAUGCUUGCGGGACAAGACUUCUAGAUGCUUGUGCUAAGAAAGGCUUAGAGGUACUUACUAGGGACAAAGCUUAGGGGAUAAUAAGAAAUCUAGGUGUUAGAGCUCACCUAAGAUAAUAAGGAAACAUGAGCUAAGGCAUGCCUUAAAAAAAUCAUGAGUUAGGGCUCACCUUCUAACAUGACACAUCCCGAAUCACUCUAGUGGACCCGAAACGUGGCCGACUGUGAGUUACUAAAAAAAUACGCCAAAAUCAAAUACUUAUAUAAAACAUAAUAUGACGGGCCCAAAACAUUUACUUUGUACUUCAUCAAUGUGAACAUAACACUCAAGAUGUUGUGUGAAUAUGGCUUCAAAAUCAUUAGGCUCUUCCAGCUACAAAGAAACAACCGCUACUUGUAGGAAAAAUCAUGAAAAAAAUAGAUGAGUUUAUAGGUCAGUAUGUGGAAAAGUUAAAAAAUAAUUAUAAUUAUAAUAAUAGUCAAGGGACAUCCUCAUAACGCUAAAAUAUAUAAUCUCAUAGUCAUGAUAUAAUUCUCAAUUCAGAUUUAUAAUAUAAUCUCAUCACCACUGCAUGUAAUCCACAAAAAAUAUACCCUCUGUCUGAAAUCUGUAAUCAACCCCUCGGGCUAAGAACAUUUUCCACAAGACUUUUUGCCCUGUUGGUGAAUCAAAGCGAGUUUCAAGACCUCUGAUAAUUAAUUCUAGAACAUGAGCAAAGCCCUUCAAUGAACUAUAUGUACAUGAUCAAGACCCCUUCAUCCACAGCCCAAAACACCCCAGUGUAGUUAUAGAACAUGGCCAGGACCCCUCGAUGAACUAGAAGGAAUAUAUAAUCAUGGAUACUUUUUUGGUCAAUCAAAAUAUCAUGUCUCAUAUUCCAAUUCACAAACGUACCACAUACGAUCUUUGAAAUUUCACAUGCAUCAUAGCAAAAGAAAUGUCCAUGGUAAUCAUAGAAUUCAUAAGUAAUCCAUGUACAACCUUCAUGAUUUCACAUAUAUUGUAAUGAAAGAACCUUUCAUAAUAAUCAUGUAAUUGUUCAAGAAUUUCACUUAAUUGAACAUAAUUUAGCAAUAUAAUUAAUUUAUAAAUACUUUAUAAUUAUUUAAGUUUUUCCACUCACAUAUCUAUGGAUACACAUUUUGUUAAAUUGAAGAGACUUUUCAAGCUUUUACGUUUUUACCUGAAAUAAUGUGAUAAUUACUCAAAUUAAAACACGACAAUUAAAUUAAUGUACAUUUAAUUCCUCAACUUCUAUAUUUNNNN